CCUACGGGUGGCAGCAGUGGGGAAUAUUGGACAAUGGGCGAAAGCCUGAUCCAGCAAUGCCGCGUGAGUGAUGAAGGCCCUAGGGUUGUAAAGCUCUUUUACCCGGGAUGAUAAUGACAGUACCGGGAGAAUAAGCUCCGGCUAACUCCGUGCCAGCAGCCGCGGUAAUACGGAGGGAGCUAGCGUUGUUCGGAAUUACUGGGCGUAAAGCGCGCGUAGGCGGUUUUUUAAGUCAGAGGUGAAAGCCCGGGGCUCAACCCCGGAAUAGCCUUUGAAACUGGAAAACUUGAAUCUUGGAGAGGUCAGUGGAAUUCCGAGUGUAGAGGUGAAAUUCGUAGAUAUUCGGAAGAACACCAGUGGCGAAGGCGACUGACUGGACAAGUAUUGACGCUGAGGUGCGAAAGCGUGGGGAGCAAACAGGAUUAGAUACCCUAGUAGUCG
rnacentral:rRNA from 1 species